rnacentral:rRNA from 1 species
UACGGGGGGGGGGCAAGCGUUGUCCGGAAUUAUUGGGCGUAAAGAGCUCGUAGGCGGUUUGUUGCGUCGGCUGUGAAAUCCCGAGGCUCAACCUCGGGUCUGCAGUCGAUACGAGCAAACUAGAGUGUUGCAGGGGAGACUGGAAUUCCUGGUGUAGCGGUGAAAUGCGCAGAUAUCAGGAGGAACACCGGUGGCGAAGGCGGGUCUCUGGGCAACAACUGACGCUGAGGAGCGAAAGCGUGGGGAGCGAACAGG